UUCCAAGACUGUUGUUUUUUCUUCCUACGAGUAAAUUUAUAAUUGUUAAGUCAAAAUUAAUAUAAAAAAAAUAAAAAAAAAAAUUCUUAACAAAUUAAUCACCAAAUAAUCGCUAUAUAACGUUAUAUUUUUUAUCACAUUCAUUUUUUUUUGCACUCUGUUAUAUAUUUUAUUUCUACGUUUUAUAAUUCUUCUUAAUUGAGAUUUCAUUCUUUCGUUUCAAUAGAUUCUUUCGUUUCAUCAUUUCGAAAUUCGUGCGUUUCAAAAUCAUCGGUUAAAUCAUUUUCAGUGGCACAACUAGAAGAGACAGAUUCGAUCUGUUGAAAAGUUUCGUCCGAUUUCUUCUUUAUUGAAUCUUUUUUCACUUUCUUCUUGUUCAUCGUGUGUUUAACUUGUCUUUGAUAGUUUCGAAUGUUCGAGUAUGUACAAGUGAGCCGAAUGUUUGAACAAUCGAUCGAGAUUUCAUACUAUGUCACAUUUCACAAUAGGGGAACAUGAUUAUAAAGUUAGGCGAAACACGUGAUACGAUUGAAAAUAAUUUAUUCUAUUAUAUUAUCUGAUAAUUCGAAUACAGAAAAUAUGCGGGAUAUAACGUGAUGACGAAUAUUUAUUUCACUUUUAUACUUUUUUUCUUCUCUAUCAAACAACAAUGUUUGAAUCUUAAGAUGUUUCACAAGUGUUUCAAGGAACGUGAACUCUACGCUCCUUCGUAAACGAUCACUUUCUGAGGCUUCAGG